rnacentral:rRNA from 1 species
CAAGGAAUUUUCCCCAAUGGGCGCAGGCCUGAGGGAGCAACGCCGCGUGCAGGACGACGGCUUUCGGGUUGUAAACUGCUUUUGCGUGGGACGAUAACGACGGUACCACGCGAAUAAGCCCCGGCUAACUCUGUGCCAGCAGCCGCGGUAAUACAGAGGGGGCAAGCGUUGUUCGGAAUUACUGGGCGUAAAGCGCGCGUAGGCGGACUGGUCAGUUGGGGGUGAAAUCCCGGGGCUCAACCUCGGAACUGCCUUCAAUACUGCCAGUCUCGAGUCCGGAAGAGGUGAGUGGAAUUCCUAGUGUAGAGGUGAAAUUCGUAGAUAUUAGGAAGAACACCAGUGGCGAAGGCGGCUCACUGGUCCGGUACUGACGCUGAGGUGCGAAAGCGUGGGGAGCAAACAGGAUUAGAUACCCCCGUAGUCC